rnacentral:rRNA from 1 species
AGUGAACGCUGGCGGUAGGCCUAACACAUGCAAGUCGAACGGCAGCACAGUAAGAGCUUGCUCUUACGGGUGGCGAGUGGCGGACGGGUGAGGAAUACAUCGGAAUCUACUUUUUCGUGGGGGAUAACGUAGGGAAACUUACGCUAAUACCGCAUACGACCUACGGGUGAAAGCAGGGGAUCUUCGGACCUUGCGCGAUUGAAUGAGCCGAUGUCGGAUUAGCUAGUUGGCGGGGUAAAGGCCCACCAAGGCGACGAUCCGUAGCUGGUCUGAGAGGAUGAUCAGCCACACUGGAACUGAGACGCGGUCCAGACUCCUACGGGAGGCAGCAGUGGGGAAUAUUGGACAAUGGGCGCAAGCCUGAUCCAGCCAUACCGCGUGAGUGAAGAAGGCCUUCGGGUUGUAAAGCCCUUUUGUUGGGAAAGAAAAGCAGCAGGUUAAUACCCCGCUGUUCUGACGGUACCCAAAGAAUAAGCACCGGCUAACUUCGUG